AUUGAACGCUGGCGGCAGGCUUAACACAUGCAAGUCGAGCGGGGUGAUGGUGCUUGCACUAUCACUUAGCGGCGGACGGGUGAGUAAUGCUUAGGAAUCUGCCUAUUAGUGGGGGACAGCAUCUCGAAAGGGAUGCUAAUACCGCAUACGUCCUACGGGAGAAAGCAGGGGAUCACUUGUGACCUUGCGCUAAUAGAUGAGCCUAAGUCGGAUUAGCUAGUUGGUGGGGUAAAGGCCUACCAAGGCGACGAUCUGUAGCGGGUCCGAGAGGAUGAUCCGCCACACUGGGACUGGGACACGGCCCAGACUCCUACGGGAGGCAGCAGUGGGGAAUAUUGGACAAUGGGGGGAACCCUGAUCCAGCCAUGCCGCGUGUGUGAAGAAGGCCUUAUGGUUGUAAAGCACUUUAAGCGAGGAGGAGGCUCUUUUGGUUAAUACCCAAGAUGAGUGGACGUUACUCGCAGAAUAAGCACCGGCUAACUCUGUGCCAGCCGCCGCUGUAA
rnacentral:rRNA from 1 species